AUGGAUGAGGAUGAGGACAAGGACAAGGACAAGGACGAUGAGGAAUAUGAGGAGCAAAAUCUGUUUAUAGUCCCACCACAACCGAGUGCUGAUAUGUCGGAUGAUGAUACAUCAGAAGGGUAUAAGGAAUCAACUGAUGAACUAGAAGGUGGCACUAUGUCCGAGGAAUCACUUGUGCAUGUUGUAUCUAGUGAGGAGGAGGCAAGAGAAAGGAAAAAGAACAAGAGGCGAAGAGCCAAUGCUCCUGUUAGGAUGUCAUCGGAUGUUUGGGCCCAUUUUCACAAGGUCAAAGAGCCAUCGACGGAGCAUCCGGGAGAGAUUGUGUUGAAGGCUGUUUGUAAUUAUUGUCCCAAAAAGAGGUAUGCGUAUACGCAAGGUGGCAGCACCUCAACUAUUGGAAGGCAUAUCUUAAAAUGUGAAGGUUUAAGGAACAAGAUCGCUAGGAAUGCCAUCCAAACAACUCUUGAACUGCGCAAAAUCAAUGAUCCAACAAGUGCUGCAACAAUGCACCCCUCUAUUGAGUACAACCAAGGAAUCGUCAAGGAGCUUAUUGCUAAGAUGAUAUGUGUGCAUGAGUAUUCAUUUAGAAUGGUUGAACAUGAGUGGUUCAACAUUCUGAUGAAGUGCAUGAAUCCAAAUUAUAAACCCAUUGGAAGGAAGGCAAUACGAGCCGAGUGCAUGAGGGUUUACAAGAACGAAAAAGAGGUGCUGAAAUCUCUCCUAAAGGGUGUGAGCUCCAUAUGUCUAACUACAGAUUUGUGGACAAGCAACCAAACCUUAUCUUACAUGUGUGUGGUUGCACACUAUAUAGAUGGGAAUUGGAACUUACAAACCCGUGUGCUUGCUUUCAUAGAGUUGGAUCCUCCUCACUCUGGAAAUGUCAUUGCGGAUGCUCUCUAUGCGGUUGUGCUAGAAUGGAAUAUUGAGACCAAAAUUAUGUCCGUCACACUUGACAACGCUUCAAACAAUGAUGGUGCGGUCGAUGCUUUGAAAGCCAAGUUCUUGUUCCGGAGAGGUAAGGACUUCGAAGGCCAAUAUUUUCACAACGUUGUUGUGCACACAUCCUCAACUUGGUCGUGCAAGAUGGGACAACGAUCUUAG
rnacentral:rRNA from 1 species